UAAUUAAUCAAUCGAAAUCUCAUCAUUCAAUUAUUCAAAUAAAGUCUUGGGUUAGUCACAAUCGGUACUUAAUAAAUUAAAUCACUCUUCGUGGGAACGACACUUUACUUAUUUCUAUAUUACUUGUGCGGAUUGUGCGCUUGUAAAUAAAUUCACAAGAAGUUUUUGUCCAUUGGGUUUGUUGAAAUCUGUUUAAACCAUUGGUCCAAUUCCGGAUUCCAAAUUGCUCAUUGGUGCUUACAGAGACAUCAACCUUCAGCAAAUGCAAAUGGGUCUUGACACCAAAUCUCGACAGAUGCACAGGGCAUAACCUAGCACCUCCAUCAAUUUAAUACAUUUCAGCUCCAAAAAAGGAUGGUAAGUUUCUCUAACUCUAUCUUUCUGGCGCUGGUCACUGAGACUAGUUGUGGGUAUACACUGACACUAGCACAGAUGCACUCCAGGUGUAUGAUGCAAUGACAAAGUGAGUUCUUGAGAUUUCAUUGGUUUGAUAAUUUCACCCAUUUCGAUCCCUUAAGCUUCCAAAAUCAUAGUUUUAGCUCCAAACUUUUGUUAGGAACAAUUGCCUAUAAAAUCCUCACUAAACACAUUAAACUAACCAAUUUCAUACAAAAACAAAGCAAAUAUAGAUAGAUUAUAUAUGCAAGAUAUUAAUCUAUCAGGCAUGUGAUUCUCAUAGGUACUAUCAUAUGUUCAAGUUUCCACCAUCUAUAGAUCAAAAGUUAAUUUCCUUCUUUUAAAAAAAAAUAAAAAAUUAGGACUCGUUUGUUUUUUUUUCAUAUAGAAAAUUGGGCCUUUCAAAGCUUUGUCGGUUUCUUUAAUUAUUACGAUGAAGUCAAAUAUAUAUCAGGACCUCUUUUUUUUCUUUUUGGUAAAAUGUAUAUCAAGACGUAACCUGGACGGUACAAAUCCUUGGUUUAUAUUAUAAGUUGAGCUUGUAAUGACUGUUCGUAAUUUCUGGGUUCAUGUCAUCCACAUUUUGUUAAGAAAUAUGUGGACCUUAGAUAAGAUAAGAUGAACACUUGAAGGCUUACAUACAUAUACAACAGAUACACACAAGUAAGAUAUUUUUAGAAAACAAGGACCACUUACGCAUGUUAAAUCCUUUUGUAUGAAUAUUGGACAAUCCUUGCAAUUAAAGGACGGGGGACUUGUCAUAUGCUAUAGCUACAACUAUCGAUUAGACGUGACUAAUUUAGUGAAAGCUACAACUGUAAAUUCAAUGUGUACUGGUGCAUGAAUUUCUUUGACAGAAAAUGAAGACGAUUGAUGAUCGUUGUAAAUACUGAUUAUAACCCUUACGCAUUUUAGAUGGAGAGAGAAAUCGUUUGCACAAUUCUGUUCAUACAAGGGCCACGUUUCUGUCUCGUGUAGUUAGAUGUGAGUUAACGUCACUGACGUCCAUUUCAUGUGACACGAAUGUCUUAUUCUAUCGUCCUCAUGUACAAGGUAAAUGCUUAAAACUGUUGUACAAAUUUAAAGGAAAAAGUUCUGAUUAAUUGUAAGAAACUGUCAUUGGUCAACUUGCUUAACUACGGGUUUAAUACAAAAACCAUUGUGCGAAAACUGCAUGGCAUAGCUGAACAAGAGGGGGAGGAGAAUGAAAAAAAGGAGGGAAGACGGUGGGGGAGGGAAUAGAUAAAUGGGGACGAGGAAGGUCAUCAAAGUUGAAGGGUAAAAUUGGAGUUGGAAAUCCAACUCGGAAAAGAAAAGUAUUACUUUGGUUUAAAAAUGCCAUGUGGGAACUUUUGAGUGGAAGUAUAACCUACUGAUGUUGUGAUUCUAUACCACUCGAACGAAAAAUUAUAGAAUGGUAUCGUAUAACCAUGUCAGUUGGUGAUACUCCAACUCAAUUUUUGCCAUGUGUCUUAUUAAAAAAAAAAAAAUUAAAACUCUUUAUCCAGCUGGAUUUGAAAGUUUAUUUUUACAUUGUCAACUUAAAAAAAUAAAAAUACAAAACUUAAAGAAAAAAAAUAGCAGCCCCAA